CAGUCGAGGGGCAGCAUGAAAGUUUGCUUGCAAACUUUUGAUGGCGACCGGCUCACGGGUGAGUAACACGUAUCCAACCUGCCUCAUACUCGGGGAUAGCCUUUCGAAAGAAAGAUUAAUACCCGAUGUCAUAGUCCUACCGCAUGAUGGGAUUAUUAAAGAAUUUCGGUAUGGGAUGGGGAUGCGUUCCAUUAGUUAGUUGGCGGGGUGACGGCCCACCAAGACAACGAUGGAUAGGGGUUCUGAGAGGAAGGUCCCCCACAUUGGAACUGAGACACGGUCCAAACUCCUACGGGAGGCAGCAGUGAGGAAUAUUGGUCAAUGGACGAGAGUCUGAACCAGCCAAGUAGCGUGAAGGAUGACUGCCCUAUGGGUUGUAAACUUCUUUUAUAUGGGAAUAAAACGUUCCACGUGUGGAAUUUUGUAUGUACCAUAUGAAUAAGGAUCGGCUAACUCCGUGCCAGCAGCCGCGGUAAUACGGAGGAUCCGAGCGUUAUCCGGAUUUAUUGGGUUUAAAGGGAGCGUAGGUGGAUUGUUAAGUCAGUUGUGAAAGUUUGCGGCUCAACCGUAAAAUUGCAGUUGAAACUGGCAGUCUUGAGUACAGUAGAGGUGGGCGGAAUUCGUGGUGUAGCGGUGAAAUGCUUAGAUAUCACGAAGAACUCCGAUUGCGAAGGCAGCUCACUGGACUGCAACUGACACUGAGGCUCGAAAGUGUGGGUAUCAAACAGGAUUAGAUACCCUGGUAGUCCACACAGUAAACGAUGAAUACUCGCUGUUUGCGAUAUACAGCAAGCGGCCAAGCGAAAGCAUUAAGUAUUCCACCUGGGGAGUAC
rnacentral:rRNA from 1 species